UACGGAAGGGGCAAGCGUUGUUCGGAAUCAUUGGGCGUAAAGGGCGCGUAGGCGGUGUGUCAAGUCAGGCGUGAAAGCCCCGGGCUCAACCUGGGAACCGCGCUUGAGACUGGCACGCUCGAGUUCGGGAGAGGAUGGUGGAAUUCCCAGUGUAGAGGUGAAAUUCGUAGAUAUUGGGAAGAACACCGAUGGCGAAGGCAGCCAUCUGGACCGACACUGACGCAUGAGG
rnacentral:rRNA from 1 species